GAGGAACGCUGGCGGCGUGCCUAAUACAUGCAAGUCGAGCGAACGGACGAGAAGCUUGCUUCUCUGAUGUUAGCGGCGGACGGGUGAGUAACACGUGGAUAACCUACCUAUAAGACUGGGAUAACUUCGGGAAACCGUAGCUAAUACCGGAUAAUAUUUUGAACCGCAUGGUUCAAAAGUGAAAGACGGUCUUGCUGUCACUUAUAGAUGGAUCCGCGCUGCAUUAGCUAGUUGGUAAGGUAACGGCUUACCAAGGCAACGAUGCAUAGCCGACCUGAGAGGGUGAUCGGCCACACUGGAACUGAGACACGGUCCAGACUCCUACGGGAGGCAGCAGUAGGGAAUCUUCCGCAAUGGGCGAAAGCCUGACGGAGCAACGCCGCGUGAGUGAUGAAGGUCUUCGGAUCGUAAAACUCUGUUAUUAGGGAAGAACAUAUGUGUAAGUAACUGUGCACAUCUUGACGGUACCUAAUCAGAAAGCCACGGCUAACUACGUG
rnacentral:rRNA from 1 species